GAUGAACGCUGGCGGCGUGCCUAAUACAUGCAAGUCGAGCGAACAGACGCGGCUCUUGCUCCUCUGACGUUAGCGGCGGACGGGUGAGUAACACGUGGAUAACCUACCUAUAAGACUUGGAUAACUUCGGGAAACCGGAGCUAAUACCGGAUAAUAUAUUUAGCCGCAUGGUUCAAUAGUGAAAUACGGUUUUGCUGUCACUUAUAGAUAGAUCCGCGCCGCAUUAGCUAGUUGGUAAGGUAACGGCUUACCAAGGCAACAAUGCGUAGCCGACCUGCGAGGGGGUAGGGGGCCUCAGGGACUGAGCGACGGUCCAGACUCCGACGGGAGGCAGCAGUAGGGAAGCGUCCGAGAUGGGCGGAAGCCUGCAGGAGCAACGCCGGGUGGGUGAAGCAGGUCUUCGGAGCGGAAAACUCUGUUAUUAGGGAAGAACACAUGUGUAAGUAACUAUGCACGUCUUGACGGUACCUAAAUAGAAAGCCACGGCUAACUACGUG
rnacentral:rRNA from 1 species